rnacentral:rRNA from 1 species
GACGAACGCUGGCGGCGUGCCUAAUACAUGCAAGUUGAGCGAUGAAGAUUGGUGCUUGCACCAAUUUGAAGAGCAGCGCACGGGUGAGUAACGCGUGGGGAAUCUGCCUUUGAGCGGGGGACAACAUUUGGAAACGAAUGCUAAUACCGCAUAACAACUUUAAACAUAAGUUUUAAGUUUGAAAGAUGCAAUUGCAUCACUCAAAGAUGAGUCCGCGUUGUAUUAGCUAGUUGGUGAGGUAAAGGCUCACCAAGGCGAUGCUACAUAGCCGACCUGAGAGGGUGAUCGGCCACAUUGGGACUGAGACACGGCCCAAACUCCUACGGGAGGCAGCAGUAGGGAAUCUUCGGCAAUGGACGAAAGUCUGACCGAGCAACGCCGCGGGAGUGAAGAAGGUUUUCGGAUCGUAAAACUCUGUUGGUAGAGAAGAACGUUGGUGAGAGUGGAAAGCUCAUCAAGUGACGGUAACUACCCAGAAAGGGACGGCUAACUACGUG